UUUAUUUGGUGGAAUAGCAUUCUUUUUUCCUAUGGAAUUACCUUGAAGUUGUCUCUAAAUACUUUAAAAAUUAAUCUACACUUUAAAAAGGUGGAUAAAGAGGCAUUGAAAAAAGUGAGAACAGAUAGAGAUGUAGCCACUGGAGUCAGACAAUUGAAGAUAUAAUAAUUACUGAUAAAGGCUGUUGGUCCAGGAGAUAUUCAAAGGACAAAACCAAGAAAGACAACUCAUAAACUCUUCCUAAGUGGUGUGUAGUCUGUAUUCAAAUAUCUCAAAGAUUCAAGAUGAUAUUGGCUCUCUGCCCAUGAAGAGACAAUAUUUACUGAUGUGGAAUUGGAAAGUCUAAAAAAGCUGCCUCUGUUUCUGUGUAU
ensembl:lncRNA